rnacentral:lncRNA from 1 species
GCAAUUUCUGAGUGAAAGUUGUUUUUUCUAGCUUUUUAUUCAGGGUUGUGAGUGCAUGAACUGAUCAAAUGCAAUGAAUAAAAACAUCUUCCAAAUAUAACCGCAUGCACUGCCAUAGAAAGUGCAUUACUUUACACACGAGUCCUGCUUUAGUACAAACUGAGUGAUGAAUCUAAAUGAUUUUCUGCGCUGCUGAGUCACUCACAAGACGGCCACCUCAGAGAGUUCUUCAAAGACUUCCUGUCUGCGCAGGAAACCGUCUGAGGCUGAACCCACCUGUUAAACCACAUCACCUCACUGGGAAAUGUCUCAGUAAUUCAUCUGCAUGAGCUGUAGAUGAUUUUAACAAAAUGCACCAAUGCAAAACUUCUGCCACAUUUGCAUGUGUUUAAAUGAAAUCAAUGCCUUCAGGUGGCAUCUGCAAAAAGCCCUUUUUCUUUAGUGUCAGUAAGCAUUAAAUCAUGUGACGACCUGAGCUCUGAUUGGUCGGCUCAUCAAAGACUCCUGUGAUUAGCUGACCUGUAUACGCCGCCAUCUGCUGUAGGACUUGCAUGUCUCUAAACAUACAGAUACUCAAACGCUUGUGGCGGCGACUUACUGAGCCCUUGUGAGGAUCUGAAGUGUGCAGCAGUAGAUAAAGACAGCAGGAGUGAGAGGAGACUAGAAUCCAAUGGAUACUGAUGCAACACUGCAUUUUGGCAAUGAAUCAACGUGAAAAUAAGAAAAUAAGGGUUUUGCUGCAGCAUUUGUGUGUUUGAAUUUGAGGGGAAAAGUAUGGAUGAACAUACAGCUGUGUUUUGAAUACUAGUAUACCGUAUACAGAGUACAGAGUACACACUACUAAUUCUGAAAAAUAAGAUAUGAAACAGUGCAUAAUGCAACAUUUCAAGCUAGAAUACUACUAUAUUGUGAAAGAGGUUCUCAAACAUUUUGACUUGAAGGCCCUCCACUGUCUAUCAUAAUAUUUGAAGACCUAUAUCAUAUAAUAUUAGUGGAACUAUAACUUUAUUAUAAUCAGAAGUAUA